rnacentral:rRNA from 1 species
GUGCCAGCAGCCGCGGUAAUACGUAGGUGGCAAGCGUUGUCCGGAUUUAUUGGGCGUAAAGGGUGCGUAGGUGGUUUUUUAAGUGGGAUGUGAAAUCCCUGGGCUCAACCCAGGAACUGCAUUCCAAACUGGGAAACUAGAGUGCAGGAGAGGAAAGUGGAAUUCCUAGUGUAGCGGUGAAAUGCGUAGAGAUUAGGAGGAACACCAGUGGCGAAGGCGACUUUCUGGACUGUAACUGACACUGAGGCACGAAAGCGUGGGGAGCAAACAGGAUUAGAUACCCUGGUAGUCCACGCCGUAAACGAUGAGCACUAGGUGUAGGGGAGACCAUCCUCUGUGCCGCAGUUAACACAUUAAGUGCUCCGCCUGGGAAGUACGAUCGCAAGAUUAAA